UCGCCUCGGGGGGCAGCAGUGAGGAAUAUUGGUCAAUGGGCGGGAGCCUGAACCAGCCAAGUCGCGUGAGGGAAGAAGGUACUGAGUAUUGUAAACCUCUUUUGCCAGGGGACAAAGGCGGCCACGGGUGGCCGUAAGAGGGUACCUGGAGAAAAAGCAUCGGCUAACUCCGUGCCAGCAGCCGCGGUAAUACGUAGGUGGCAAGCGUUAUCCGGAAUUAUUGGGCGUAAAGAGCGCGCAGGUGGUUAAUUAAGUCUGAUGUGGAAGCCCACGGCUUAACCGUGGAGGGUCAUUGGAAACUGGAU
rnacentral:rRNA from 1 species